rnacentral:rRNA from 1 species
UACGUAGGGUGCAAGCGUUGUCCGGAAUUAUUGGGCGUAAAGAGCUCGUAGGUGGCCUGUCGCGUCGGCUGUGAAAACUCGGGGCUCAACUCCGAGCUUGCAGUCGAUACGGGCAGGCUAGAGUUCGGCAGGGGAGACUGGAAUUCCUGGUGGUAGCGGUGAAAUGCGCAGAUAUCAGGAGGAACACCGGUGGCGAAGGCGGGUCUCUGGGCCGAUACUGACACUGAGGAGCGAAAGCGUGGGGAGCGAACAGG